rnacentral:lncRNA from 1 species
GAGGUUCCCAGGCUAGGGGUCGAAUCGGAGCUGUAGCCACCGGCCUACGCCAGAGCCACAGCAACGCGGGAUCCGAGCUGCGUCUGACACCUACACCACAGCUCACGGCAACGCCGGAUCGUUAACCCACUGAGCAAGGGCAGGGACCGAACCCGAAACCUCAUGGUUCCUAGUCGGAUUCGUUAACCACUGCGCCAUGGCGGGAACUCCUCCUAUGUCUUUUUCUAAGACUUCCAUGGUUUUAGGUCUUUUGUUUGCCUGGUUUGGGUAUCAGAGCGAUAGUGGCCUCAUAGAAUGAACUUGGGAGUAUUCCUUCCUCUGAAAUUUUCUGGAAGAGCUUCAGAAGGAUAGAUGUUAACUCUUCUCUAAAUGUUUGAUAAAAUUCACUUGUGAAGCCAUCUGGCCCUGGACGUUUGUUUUUUAGAAGUUGGGGUUUUUUUUGGUUUUGUUUUUUGUUUGUUUGUUUGUUUUUGCUGUACCCAUGGCAUGCGGAAAUUCCUGGGCCAGGAAUCGAACCUGAGCAGCUCAGGUAGCUGCUGCAGUGACAAUGCUGUAUAUUUAACCUGCUUAGCCACACUAGAAUUCCUAGGAGGUUUUAAUCACAGUUUCAAUUUCAGUACUUGUGUUCAUAUUUUCUGUUUCUUCCUGGUUCAGUCUUAGAAGGUUGUACCUUUGUAAGAAUUUGCUCAUUUCUUCUGGGUUGUCUGUUUUACUGGCAUAUAGUUGUUUGUAGUGGUCUCUUGUGAUCCUUUUAUUUCUGUGGUAUCAGUUGGAAUUUCUCCUUUUUCGUUUCUAAUUUUAUUGGUUAGCUCUCUUAUUUAGGCUUUGAUCAUUUUCAAUUAAUUUCUGUGGGUAGUGUGAGAUAGGAGUCCAAUUUCAUUCUUUCACAUGUGGAUACCCAGUUGUCCCAGCACUAUUUGUUAAAGAAAUAAAGAAAUAAUUCUUGCCCUAUGGAGUGGUCUUAACACUUUUGUUCAAACUCUAUCAGCCACAGGCCCACAGAUGAUUGGUUUUAUUUCUGGACUUUCAAUUCUACUCCACUGAUCUAAGUAUCCUUAUGCCAAUACCAUGCUGUUUGGAUUUCUAUAGCUUUGUACUAAAUUUGAAACUGGGAAGUAUGAUUUUGCUCUUUUUCAAGACUGUUUUGAUGAGAGGAAAAAAGGAGAACAGAGGAAGACAAUACAAUGGCUGAGCAGUUCCUGUCAGAGAAGAGCUGAGAUGGCAGGAAGGUGGGGUGGUCUGGGCUUGGACUCUAGGGCCAAAGGGACUCUUUAAAAACCAUACGGUUGGGGCUGGGGUGGGGGUGGGGGUCAUAAGCAGCAGUGGCCAUUUUGCUGUGUGAGCCAGUCUUUAGUAAUUCAGAUGUACUAAGGUUAAAAAUCCUUGUGUUACUGCCACAUUGAACAUUUUAUAAAUUUCAAAAACAAAACAUCAGAUAAGAUGAAGUAGAAUGACCAUGAACUGUUCUUUCUGAACUGAGAGGGAAACAUGCUUUUGCAUCUUAUCUCAAGAGUCUCCAUAGCUUUUAGUAUAUAUAAAUAGUUAUUCUUGAUAAGUUAAUGUAAUUUUAUAAUCAUAUCAGAAAACAUACCCUGCAAUGCAGAAGUACCACACUGACCUUUUAAAAAAAUUCUGAACAAAAUCUUAAAUAAACACAUGUAUCACAUUUAGUUAAAUUAAAUGAGUGGGCAGUGACAUCAGCAGUCUGAACAUUAUUGUUACAAAUGGGACCCAAGCCAGUGAAGAAAAAGCAGAGCUAAGAGUACAGGAGGUGAGGUUUAAGAUAAAUGCUUUGGCAAUUUUCUUUGAUGCUCAUUACUAUCUUUUCCCAUGUUAAAAUUUUUAAGUGUAGGUAAUUAAGGAUGUAUGAAGAGCACCACUACUGUUGAAUAUAUAUAUAUAUCAUGUAAACUGCCACGGAAUAAUUGCAUUGCUGCUAUAUAAUAGCAAAUACUGCUGCCAUGAGAUUAAGCAAUUUAUUGCCACUCCACAAAUUAAGACACAUGGCCCCAUCUGUUUCUAGGUUCCAUGACAGCAUACCUACUGGUUAAUGAAGAACCUGUUAGUCAGAGGAUGCAAAUAUGUCUCUUACUUAACUUUUUCAAAAUCAACAGGGUGUUGCCGAUAUAAUUUGGCAGAGAGUCUGAUUUAUUAUGGGAGUGAAAUAAACAUCUCCUCUGAUAAUGAUUUAAAACAAUAUGUGAAGUAUAUAA